CAACUGUUCAACCAAGCUCAGUGAUGUGUGCCUAUAAUCGCAGGAUUCUGGGAGCUGAGAUGAAGCAGAUCACAAGCUUGAGCCCUGCCUGGAUAACUUGAGAAUUUUUUGACUUGUGCUAUUACAGAAGGGUUCCAAGCAGAGGAAAUGAAGAACAACCAUAAGUGCUGAGGUGAGGAAUAUGUUCUUUAGUUUGAGCAUGGUAAUUCUGCAAUGUACAUGUGUCUCGAAAGAAGAUGGCAAAUACAAAAACAGCAAGUGUUUAUUCUACUGAGCUAGCUCCCUUGCCCAUGAGAUUUAGAAUGGGACCCAGAAGAACUCAAGGAAAAG